CUAGUAAGGAAAUCUCAUCAGGAACAACACCCACGUGCAGGUACCAAGCCCCUGCUGCACCUGAAUUCAAUUGAUGCAAAGAAGCUGAAUUUAAAAUAUUCUCCAGAACAAAGCAAGGCCAGCUGGAGGAUUUCCUGCAGGAGAAGGGAAAAGCCUGGGGAGGCAGUGGGCUGGAAUGCUGAGCUGUGACACAUUCCUGCUGGCUACAGUCUCAUUCUGUUCCUCCCCUUACUAAGGCGGGCAAGCCCCGGGGUGUUCGCAGCGCUGCGGUGUGACAGCGGCAGCCCGGGAAGGCGAUCCAUGCGGUGAUCCCGGCGAUCCAUGCGGGGAUUGAGUCACUCGCACAAGGUCACGCGAAUCGCUGGCGCCGCCAGGAAUAGCACUCGGAGCCUCCCGGCUCUCUCGAGCCCACUCUCGGCACUCCAGCCCGAAUUCCCCGGGUCUGAGACUUCUUCAAGCAAUGUGUCCUGCAAGGAUUAUGAACAUUUCUGCAGCAACAUUUGAAACAGCCAGAUUCCAAUUUAAAUCAAAGUCCCUAGGAUUCACUUGUGAUUUCCAGUAAGGCUUCUUUAAGCGUGGCUCUGCUGCACACAAGAAAAUCACACCACAGGCUGGAGUGAGCCAGGAAGUCUCAUCCCCAAGUGGCGUCAUGCUCUUCAAAGAUACCUGAAGGAGCCAGAGAAGCAGCGCUGGCCGGUGCUGACAGAGUAACCAGCUGGGAUCUGUGGCACUGCUGUGUCCCUGGCUGCUGAGAGCAGGGAAGGAGGGCUCCAUCUACUGCUGUGCUGGGAGAAGGCAAAAAUAACCAGGAUGGCAUUCCUCUGCUGCACGGAAAAGCUACUGGGUACCAUGAACUCCAGAGAAGUGUGUCUCCAAAGAGUGAAUUUUUUGGCCCUUUGGAAAUGUAUGAACGGGACAGCACCAUAUGGACUUGGCAUGCCCCAGGGAUGGCUGCGGGAGCCUGGGAACAUUCUGUGCCUGCAGCAAGUGUAGGAAGCAGGAAGGAGGAGAGCGGAGCGAGCGGCUGCAGGGAGCUGUGUGGGGAUGGCACUGAGCAACACGGCUGCACCAGCAGGGCCCAGCCAUGACCAGGUCUCCAUCACAGCUGAGAACAGCAGCAGCACCAGCCUGACAUCACCGACUGAGGUACCUGCACAAAGGACCAGGUACAGACUUCUCAGGAUUUUGCCUGCUAUCCCAGACUAACACUUCAGAAGUGCCACCAAGGAAACUUCUCUGCAAAUCUCUUUCUGUUUCAAAACUUCUUAACUGAAUAAUGUGAGUGGCCAGAUACAUUCCUGCCUGUUGAAGCUCACAGUAGAAGAAUGUUCAAAAGGAAAAGGAAAAUAUUUGGAAAGUAUUUUUUUUACUAUCACACAGACCUGGAAAUUGUAUCAACUGAGGAGAUACACCAGUUGUUUCUUCAGCUACCUUUUUUGUGCUGGCAACCUGCCCUGCAAUUUCCAGGGACAGCAAACCUGUGAGACAGAUGCACUCACUGUGUGACUGAGGAUGCUCUCCAGCCCUGCUGUGCCAGCCCUGGGAGCGGGGCCGUGUGUGGGGUCUGCUGUUUUCUGGUUGGAGUGCUUUUUAUAGCCUGUAUUAUAAGGAGACCCACACGUGGGGAAAGGAAGAAGGAAUUAAAUGGAAAACAAACCACAGGCCCAGCUGUUAAUCCUUCUGGGGAAAGCAGGGCCUGGGCUGCAUUCUUCAGCAUCCAACCCACUGUGGGACACACCAGGUGAAGGUUGUCAGCAGUCUGAGCUGAGUCUCUGGUCAGCCAUUGUUCUGGGGGAUCUGCUGCUGCUCUCCCACUGGAGCCUGUUCCUUUGUGCUCUUUCCAUGAGGAGCAGCCAAAAUCAUGAGUUAAACGUUGCUGAUAUUAAAGAGGACUCCUGGCAUCUGCCCCGAAUGGAGAAAUCAACGUGUCAUUCGUUAAAGAUAUCCCUGCUUGUACAGGGAACACGUGUUUGCCAGAUGGUGCCAGUUCAGGAUUCCCAGAGGGAGCAGGAGAGGUCCAUCCCUGCUGAAUGCCAGAGCCACCCCAGUCCCAGGGUCCCCCAAGGGUCCUCACUCCUCUCCCUGCAGCCUGGCAGAGAUGCUCCUGGACCUCUCCCAGCUGAGGCUGUGUUGUGACCCCAGACUGCCAAGGAAAGUACAGAAUUGAUGUAUCUUGGGGGAGGGAGGGAGGGGUGUGGGCUGAGAUCUGGUGUCUCGAGACCAUUCUUUAGACAGUGCUGAUCCAGACUGUCUUAUUCCCAGCAUUUUUCAAAUUGUGUUAUUUCCUACAGUUUGCAACUACACACAGUAGUCAGAGGUUAUGACACAUAGCUGACUUUAAAGGACACUGUCUGUAACAAGUGCUAUGUAUGUAUUCUAUAAAUGUUGUUAUACCCUGUAUUUUAUAGCUUUAGACUGCAAUAAAUGGGGACAAACUGUGUGCUUGUAGCGUGAAUGGAAUGGUUUGGUCUGUGUUUUUUUUCUAAUUACAGAAUUUCAUAUUUAUUCAAAAUAGAUCUCCGUGUGCAGGUUAUGAAGUGUUUCCUUCCAAACACAAGAUACUUGCAGUUCGAGUGGAUCUUGACUUGCAUCAAGGAAUCAAAGCAGGCACAAGGAGAAGCAAGUACAGUAUGUCAGACAGUGGGUCUUUAACUGUGCAGAGAGGAGCAGCACAUCAGAAAGUGUCAUUAUCUCUGUUCCUCUGUGGUUGCUGCUGGGCACAGUGAGCCCGGAGCAGGGAGUGGGGCUGUGUGGGGCUGGGGAGCUCCAAGGCAGCCCAGCGGGUCGGUGCGAGGCUCCUGUGCUGCCGUGCUGGAGGAGUGGUGGGAGGAUGAGGGGGCCACAUCCCAGACCCCCCCGGGGAUGGAGCCCGCAGGGAUUUGUGUCCAUCAGGGCAGGGCUCCGUGGGACGCCCCGCUGAGCUCUUGGUGGGCAGUGCUGGCACCAGGCACAGCGCUGGGCUCUGCUGAGGGUGCAGCUCUGGGGAUUGGCACAGGUGCAGCAGCAUUGCACAACAAUCUCUUUCUCAAAUAGAUCUGUCACUUUUUAUAUUUUCCUUAAUUAAAAUUCCAGCUGCUCGUGUCUCCUUACGCGCCUCUCCGCACGUGUGUCUGACCACAACCCUGUCAGUUUGAGGCUGUGCCGUGGCUGUGUCGCAGCCCUGGGAUGCUCCUGCAGCCUCAGAACAGAGCCCUGUACAGGCAAACUUGAAAGAAGCUGGGCAGUGUCUGGAGCAGCAGCAAGGAAUCUGGGAUUGGGAACUCACCACACUGUUAUUGACUGGUCUCCAUUCCCAAGAGGACAAACCUUGUUUGCCAGAAGUAAUACCCAAGUUUAUGAUGCUGGAAAGGGAAAGCUGCAGCUCAUCUGGAACACUUGGCAUUGGAGAAACACAGCGG